rnacentral:lncRNA from 1 species
GCCCUGAUCGCUGCUUGGGCUGGACGAGUCCCAGAGGGGGACAGCGCCUCUCCUCGAAAAGCCUGGGUUUUUUCCUGCCCCCUCUCGCGACAGAAAGUUGGCGCAUUUGCCCUGCAGGAGCGCGAUUUUUCCCCCCCCCCCCCCAGGACUAGGGCCGGGGGCUGCACGUCUCUCUCCCUCUCUUUCUUCCGGGAGAGCGGGCAGCUUGGCCUGAGGCCUCGAGGGCCCCGCUUCUCCCCAAACCCCGGGGUCACUGCGGAUCCCAGGGGCCUCUCAAGUCUGGAAGCUCAGGUUGGGGGCUCGCAGGAAGAGCCCACAGCGAAGCUCCAGGGCGGCGCGGCGGCCGCGAUCCCUGCCUCCGCGCCACGGCGGGAUAGAGGCCGGGUGAGAGCAGCUCCGGAGCGGGCCCUGCGGAAAGUUCUCCUCGUCCGGCCCUGGCUCCCAGGACUCUGGCCCCGACCUGCAGGGGCCAUGAGAGCCAGGGCUGCCUCCCGGCCUGUCCGCGUUGCCAACUCCGAGUUCAAAAGAAAUGAUAAUCAUUGCAUUACUUGCCUGGUGGGGCAGGACUCGGCCGAAUCUCGCUUCUGGUGCCCAUGACUCACGGUCCAGGGUCCGAGGGUGGCUGGGCCCGCGGACCGGGCGUCCAGCGGGCCUCCGGUUCCCUGGCGCUCGCUCUCGCCUCCUCUUCCACUCGCUCCGUCUCUUUCCACGUUCUCUUUCCUUCUCCCUGUCUCCCUCUCUCUGCCUGCUUCCUCUGCCCUCGACUGCCUGCCUCCGUACCGUAUUGGGAGUAAAAUUUAGAAUUUGUAUAUAGAAAGCUUGUUCUUGUUCUUUUCCUUUUUUUUUUUUUUUUUGGUCUUUUAAUCAUGUUCGUUUCACCUUUUAACUGACCAGGAGAGGUGAGCGCGUUUAUUUGGGGAGAGGGGUGAGAGCAAGGAGCCCCUGCCGGCCCCAGUCGCUUCCUCUCCAUCAGCUGCGUACAAUGGGCCGCCGCUUGCAGAGUGCAUUGACUGCCUCUCCAUUAUUCGAGCUGGAGGGGCUGUGGGGCAGGCACGGAAAAGCCUUUAUUCUCUUUAAAAUCGUCGCUCGUCACUAAGCGGUCGCCGACUCCCGACUUGCAGGCUGGAGAGACCGGGAAGCGCAAAACGCACCCCAAACACGCAGCGCUUCCCAAACCCCUCCCUGGUGAAAUUUAAAGUGAGAAGGAGUAGUAUUAAAAAACAAACCCUACCUCUGUCAAUACAGCGUGGCCAUUUACUCCCACCUUUACCUGAGGGCAUGUUGAGGCUGGGGAUGCUGGAGCUGAGACAAACUUUUACGCUCUCCCGAGUCGAGGGGCGGGCGGGCGAGCGUGGCUCCCACCCCCGGCGGCGGCGGUGGCGGCUUUGUCACUCCGCGCCGCUCCGCGCCCGCCUGAGCCUGCCUAGGGGAGCGAUCUCAAAACGAGGGGGGUGCGAGUGUGCGAUUGGAGAAUAUGUAACUAAUAGAAGUAUCAUUUUCCCCCAGUACGAUCUUUCAAGGAAAAAAAUCCAUUGAAAGAAUUUUCAAAGUGCUGUCUCCGUUUGGAGAAAAGGCACAGGCUGCCUGCAGGGAGGGG